rnacentral:rRNA from 1 species
GACAGAGGAUGCAAGUGUUAUUCGGAUUGAUUGGGCGUAAAGCGUCUGUAGGCGGUUUAGAAAGUCUCUUGUGAAAUUCUUCAGCUCAACUGAGGGUCCGCAAAAGAAACUUCUAGGCUUGAGGGAAGUAGAGGUAUAGGGAAUUUCCGGUGGAGCGGUGAAAUGCGUAGAUAUCGGAAGGAACACCAAUAUGGCGAAGGCACUGUACUGGGCUUUUCCUGACGCUAAGAGACGAAAGCUAAAGGAGUGAUUAGG